CACCCCCUUUUCACUUUGUCAAUUGGACUUAUGUCUUAUUGGUCAUUCAAGUGGGGCAAAGGAAAUGUCCUUUUAAAACUCAGGCAAACGGGGUGUUUGUUUUGUAUCCUGUCAGAGGAAACAAAA
ensembl:snoRNA small nucleolar RNA SNORA27